CCAUGGACAGCACAACUGAACACAGUAUUCCAGCAUCAUCACACCCUUGGCAAAUACAGAGGAAAAAUAAUGUCUCUACUCCUACUUGAAAUUCCCAUUUAUGCAUCCAAGGACUGAAUUAGCCUUUAGACCAUCAUGUUGCACUGGAAGCUUGUGUUCAACUGAUUAUCCAUCAUGACUCCCAAAUCUUUUUCAGAGUCACUGUUUCCCAGGAUAGAGUCCCCCAUUCUGAGUACCCACAACAUCCACACCUUUUGGGCAGACAGUCCUCCUCCUCAAGAAUUUACAAGCUAAUUCUACAAGCACUCAUGUCAGCAACUUUAUUCAUGUUUCCCCUCUCGGCACCGUAGACUUCAGGCCAAAGAUCAGGAUGCAAGUUACCGUUGAAGUCAUCUUUCAGAACAGAAGGCAG